GACGAACGCUGGCGGCGUGCUUAACACAUGCAAGUCGAACGGAAAGGCCUCUUUCGGGGGGUACUCGCGUGGCGAACGGGUGAGUAACACGUGAGUAACCUGCCCUUGACUUUGGGAUAACUUCAGGAAACUGGGGCUAAUACCGGAUAGGAGCUCCUGCUGCAUGGUGGGGGUUGGAAAGUUUCGGCGGUUGGGGAUGGACUCGCGGCUUAUCCGCUUGUUGGUGGGGUAGUGGCUUACCAAGGCUUUGACGGGUAGCCGGCCUGAGAGGGUGACCGGCCACAUUGGGACUUAGAUACGGCCCAGACUCCUACGGGAGGCAGCAGUGGGGAAUAUUGCACAAUGGGUGGAAGCCUGAUGCAGCAACGCCGUGGGCGGGAUGACGGCCUUCGGGUUGUAAACCGCUUUCGCUCAUGACGAAGCUUUGUGUGACGGUAGUGGGUAAAGAAGCACCGGCUAACUACGUG
rnacentral:rRNA from 1 species